GAUGAAGAACGUAGCGAAAUGCGAUACUUGGUGAGAAUUGCAGAAUCCCGUGAACCAUCGAGUCUUUGAACGCAAGUUGCGCCUCAAGCCAUUAGGUUGAGGGCACGUCUGCCUGGGCGUCACAUAUCGUUGCCUGAUGCCAGUUUCCUCGUGAUGGGUGACUGUGCAGGGCGAAUGAUGGCUUCCCGUGAGCAUUGUUGCCUCAUGGUUGGUUGAAAAUUGAGUCCUUGGUAGGGAGCGCCGUGAUAGAUGGUGGUUGAGUGACGAACGAGACCCAAUCAUGUGAGACCCCUACCGAAUUUGGCCUUCAUGACCCACAUGCGUCUUUGGAACGCUCAUGACGAGACCUCAGGUCAGGCGGGGCUACCCGCUGAGUUUAAGCAUAUCAAUAAGCGGAGGA
rnacentral:misc_RNA from 1 species